rnacentral:rRNA from 1 species
GACGAACGCUGGCGGCGUGCUUAACACAUGCAAGUCGAACGGUAAGGCCCUUCGGGGUACACGAGUGGCGAACGGGUGAGUAACGCGUGAGUAACCUGCCCUUGACUCUGGGAUAACAGAUGGAAACGUCUGCUAAUACCGGAUAUACAGCCUUGCUGGCAUCAGCGGGGUUGAAAAGUUCCGGCGGUCAAGGAUGGACUCGCGUCCUAUCAGCUUGUUGGUGAGGUAAUGGCUCACCAAGGCGACGACGGGUAGCCGGCCUGAGAGGGCGACCGGCCACAUUGGGACUGAGAUACGGCCCAAACUCCUACGGGAGGCAGCAGUGGGGAAUAUUGCACAAUGGGCGAAAGCCUGAUGCAGCAACGCCGCGUGCGGGAUGACGGCCUUCGGGUUGUAAACCGCUUUCAGCAGGGACGAAGCGCAAGUGACGGUACCUGCAAAAGAAGCACCGGCUAACUACGUG